UACAGGGGGUGCAAACGUUGCUCGGAAUUACUGGGCGUAAAGGGCGCGUAGGCGGCCACCGCAAGUCGACUGUGAAAUCUCCGGGCUUAACCCGGAAAGGUCAGCCGAUACUGCGGGGCUAGAGUGCAGAAGGGGCAACUGGAAUUCUCGGUGUAGCGGUGAAAUGCGUAGAGAUGUGGAGGAACACCGAUGGCGAAGGCAGCCUCCUGGGCCAGCACUGACGCUCAUGCACGAAAGCGUGGGGAGCAAACAGG
rnacentral:rRNA from 1 species